GGUUACAUAGUUGCCAAAGCAGGUAACCAGUAAAUAACCUGGUAAAAAUGUGAUUGUUUACUUCCGGUGCAGGUUACUUUCUUAUAUGCAAUGAAAUGUAGUGUGAAAUUUUCACUGUAGCACUGGAAAGGAUUAAACUUUAUUCAUGCAAAGUAUUUCUUUGGUUGAAAUAAAGUGUUCACAUGUUCUGAAGAGCAUUCUGUUGAAAAAUCUUAUAUGUGAAUUGGUCUGCAGAUGACACUUCAGCAUUAAAACAAAAGAUAUCAAGUUUUGAUGAAAAAGGAAGGAAGGAGGAAAAAUGGACCAAAACAGACCAAAACAGACCUUCAAAUGAACUCUAAAAGGUGCAAUAAAAUUGUUUAUCAUC